rnacentral:rRNA from 1 species
GCGGAGGAAAAGAAACCAACAGGGAUUGCCUCAGUAGCGGCGAGUGAAGCGGCAAAAGCUCAAAUUUGAAAUCUGGCGUCUUUGGCGUCCGAGUUGUAAUUUGAAGAAGGUAUCUUUGGGCCCGGCUCUUGUCUAUGUUCCUUGGAACAGGACGUCACAGAGGGUGAGAAUCCCGUGCGAUGAGAUGACCCGGGUCUGUGUAAAGUUCCUUCGACGAGUCGAGUUGUUUGGGAAUGCAGCUCUAAGUGGGUGGUAAAUUCCAUCUAAAGCUAAAUAUUGGCGAGAGACCGAUAGCGAACAAGUACAGUGAUGGAAAGAUGAAAAGAACUUUGAAAAGAGAGUGAAAAAGUACGUGAAAUUGUUGAAAGGGAAGGGCUUGAGAUCAGACUUGGUAUUUUGCAUGCUGCUCUCUCGGGGGCGGCCGCUGCGGUUUACCGGGCCAGCAUCGGUUUGGAGCGGCAGGAUAAUGGCGGAGGAAUGUGGCACGGCUUCUGCUGUGUGUUAUAGCCUCUGACGAUACUGCCAGCCUAGACCGAGGACUGCGGUUUUUACCUAGGAUGUUGGCAUAAU